AUGACCGGGUUGUACCCAGCCCAUCGUGAGACCCUACCCAGCGAAUCUCAACACAGCCGCCAAUUAAUUAAUCCUCUAGUUCCAACCGCUAAUCCCGUUCCUAUUCCAAACAUCCAGCCGCUACCAUAUCUGGAUCCCCUUUCCUUUCUCCGGCGUCCACGCCGCCGCCGCAAGCUCAAACCUUUUCCUGAACCCGCUUUCUUUCUGUGGCGUCUACUCUCGCUCAUCGUCGCCGCUGCAAGCUAUCUGUCGCAGAAGCACCAGAGCUCCAUCCCUGUUGUUUUCCCCCGCCGUCCAAGAUCAAGUUCCUCGCCGCCUGGGCAGCCACCGGCGCUCCGUCCAUGGCCACCUCCUCAGCUCUGCUCCGCUGGAUGUGUCCUAGUUACUCCACAUUGA
rnacentral:rRNA from 1 species